rnacentral:rRNA from 1 species
UACGAAGGGUGCUAGCGUUGUUCGGAAUCACUGGGCGUAAAGCGCGCGUAGGCGGCGAUGCAAGUCAGAGGUGAAAUCCCCAAGCUUAACUUGGGAACUGCCUUUGAAACUGCAUUGCUAGAGUACUGGAGGGGAGUGGGGAAUUCCUAAUGUAGAGGUGAAAUUCGUAGAUAUUAGGAGGAACACCGGUGGCGAAGGCGCCACUCUGGACAGUCACUGACGCUGAGGCGCGAAAGCGUGGGGAUCAAACAGG